CCACGUUUGACAUGUCCCGUAUGACCUGGAGAGAUUCGGGUCUUCAGUUCGGCUGGCGGGAACACAGGUGCUGCAUGGCUGUCGUCAGCUCGUGUCGUGAGAUGUUGGGUUAAGUCCCGCAACGAGCGCAACCCUCGCUACUAGUUGCUACCAGGUUAAGCUGAGCACUCUAGUGGAACUGCCGGUGGCAAGCCGGAGGAAGGUGGGGAUGACGUCAAGUCCUCAUGGCCCUUACGCGUGGGGCUACACACGUGCUACAAUGGUGGUGACAGAGGGAUAAUCCCUAAAAGCCAUCUCAGUUCGGAUUGUCCUCUGCAACUCGAGGGCAUGAAGUUGGAAUCGCUAGUAAUCGCGGAUCAGCAUGCCGCGGUGAAUACGUUCCC
rnacentral:rRNA from 1 species